UCCACAGGCUGCAGGCCUUGUCAAAGGCCAAACCAGGAACUGGGGUUGCAGAGGCUUCAGCUCAGGGGUUAGGCAAAGGCAGCAGGUCCAAACCCCCCUUUGCCAAUGAUGAAUGGCUUGUACACUACAGUCUGCUCCAGUGAGUGGGGAUUAGAUGGUGACUGGCAGUAGCCAGAGACUGAGGUGAGGUGGGGAUAGAGGGUUGGGGGUUCCUCUGGAUGGGGAGACCCAGAGAGAGGGUGUACUGCCAGGGGGCAGCACCCAAGAUAAAGGGGUACUGGGGUCUGGGAGGGACAUGGGGGGGCAGUGGCAAGCGAGACACUGGCAUACAGAGGGCACUCCAGGGUGGAAGAGCUAAUUCCCAGGAAGACCGACAGGCGGUGCCAUGCCAGUGAGUCAUCAGCUUGCUACAGGGAGAUGCUGAUCAUUGUAGUAGGGCUUGAUCCUGCCCCAGCUGCCCUAGGGAGUAGAACUGAGCCCUUAAUGAUGAGAAAAGAUACACACUGCUUCCUGUCCUUUGAGACCAUAUACUUCUGCCUGUUGAGAUAUUGCCUCAAAAAUGGACCUUUAAGUGAAUUUUCUGUCAUAGGACAUUCACAAGAAUUACCAGAAUCAACCGAGAUUCAUCCACCAGUUCAGAAGUGAAGUGCUACUGUGAAAUGGCCCCAGUCCCUCAAUGACAUGGAGGUAGCACUGUUGAGAUUUUGGUAGCAAACAUCCUUUUUUAAAAGGGCAUGAACUGCAUGGUGUCCCGCUACCAGAAGGCAAGAAGCUAUCAGCACUAUCUCAUUCUUUCCUGAUUUUUCUGGGCUACCCUGACUGAAAGGGAAUGGGAAGGGACAAUAUUGGUCUGCUGAAGAGAUUACAUCUGUUCUCCGCUCCUUUUUGUCCUAGUGCCUGGAAAUCGAGACCUAGUUUCUUGUUGCAGCUUGACAUGAAGAGGGCAAUUUGAGAUGUUCGCUACUCUCUGAAGAUCAUUUCUAGGAUGUAUUGGUUUAAACUCCUGCUGUCCUAGAGAUUGUGUUUGCCUGUUCUUCCAGCCUCGUUUACAUAUUGAACUACUUUUGACUGUAUUUUUCAGAGAUCAUUACAAAUUUUAUUAUGGCCAGUGCAGAAUUCUGAGAUCUGCAGAAUGCACGGAGGACUUUGGUCCCCUUGGCAGUUCACAUAGGCUACUGCUGUGCAGUUCUUGCUCUGGGAGAGAAUCCUAUUUGAGUUUAGAUGUCUUGUGACUCUUAAGUCAAUUGCUUUUAUCUUUGUAUGACUGUCACAGGGUAGACUCACCCACUGCAGUUGGCACCUCCUCCUAGCUGCUCCGGGGAAUUCGCUCUCUUCCACAUCCGACCCCUCCCCUUGAGUUCGCUCUAAGUGUUCUCUUUCUUACUCUGUGGCUGCUCUCAUUCCAGGAACUAUAGCUUCCUCUUUGUGACUUGGGCUUCUGGGGUAUAGAGUCUCACUGCACCUGCUGUUCAGGCAAUGCCAUUCUAUAAGUGGCUGGUAGGGGAACCCAGGCCUGGCCACCAUUUUGGGUUCCAUCCCAGGAACCCUACAACAUGCAGCCAAGUUCUGUUAAGUCCCCAGCCUUGCUGCUCUCUCUCUGCCUACUCUGCCUCCCACGGGCUUUCUUAUCCACGCUUCUCUUUUCUGGCUGCACCCUUGCCUCAGGGCCAGGCUCCUAGGGGUUCUACUCUUUCCCUGGCUUUCCUUCUCUCCUCUCUAAUGAGCAGAGGAUCUCUGUAAACUUCCUCUCUUCAGCCAUUUCUGUUGCCAGCUUCCUGGCUUUAUAUGAGCCCAGCUUCAUUGUCCAACCAGGGGUUGCUUCUCCAUCCUAAACCCCUCAUAUGUGAGCUAUCUCACUAACUGGCCGUUUCUCAGCUUCAUUAACCCUUUCAGGGUUGGUGUAGGGUGAACACCCAAUAAGUAACCAUAAAAGCAUUCCAAUGCCAGAGGCAAGGGGCUCGCUAGUAUCAGGUAGUGAGUUUCAGCUUGCCUGAUCAGUUCAGUGUACCCCAACUCACUUAUGUCAUAAUCUGUACCUAAUAGUUGUCAUGUAAGGUAUCAUUGGAAAACCCGUAACACUGAUCAUUAAUAUUUGUGUAUGGUGUAUGUACGGUAAAUACUCAAAGGACUGUAUAAAUGUGAAAGAAAUAUAGGACUAAAAUGUGCUUGAACCACAUAAGUCUGGGGAAUGGAUAAACAGGCUUUUUCCAGAUAAAGGAAAGAUCGAAACCUCUAUCCAGGUGCAAUCAUAGUCAGGUGGCCAUUCAUUGGCAUUUUGGAGGCUGCAGGGACAGAUAGUUUGCAUUACAGAAAGCACCAGCAGCGAAGAAACCAGCAUGGGACUUUCUCCAUUAGACUCUAUGGCACCUUUUCUCAAAGCAAGGGCACAGAACUUUGAGAAGGAUACAUUCCGAAAGUUCACUGAAUAAUAAAAGAGAGUGGCAAAGAAUCCCAAGUUAUCUUUCACCUGAGAAGACACAGAAACCGAGCACUUUGGACUUUCUGGGAGAUCCUGACCAAGGUGAUCAGUCACCUGGCUGGAAAGAGAUGUGGUAAGACUCUGACCUGGAACCAAGAUUGUAGUUUUGUUAAGUCUUAAUCACUAGAAAGCAUUUUUCACUUUUGUUUUAACCAUUUCUGACUUUAUGCCUUCUGUUUUAAAUGUCUUAA